rnacentral:rRNA from 1 species
AUAAUACUCCAUAGAUUAGAGACACUGGAAUGUUCUUUAGUCGAAAGUUCUGGCGCCUUAGGAUGGAUCUGCGGUCGAUUAGGUUGUUGUUGGGGUAACGGCCCAACAAGCCUGUAAUCGAUACGGGUUGUGGGAGCAAGAGCCCGGAGAUGGAAUCUGAGACACGAUUCCAGGCCCUACGGGGCGCAGCAGGCGCGAAAACUUUACAAUGCAGGAAACUGUGAUAAGGGAACUCCGAGUGCCCGUAUACGCGGGCUGUCCAGGUGUUCAAAAAUCAUCUGAAGAAAGGGCCGGGCAAGACCGGUGCCAGCCGCCGCGGUAAUACCGGCGGCUCGAGUGGUGCCACUAUUAUUGGGCUUAAAGCGUCCGUAGCUGGACCGAUAAGUCUCUUGGGAAAUCCGCCGGCUCAACCGGCGGGCGUCUAAGGGAUACUGUUAGUCUAGGGACCGGGAGAGGUGAGAGGUACUCCGGGGGUAGGAGUGAAAUCCUGUAAUCCCCGGGGGACCACCGAUGGCGAAGGCAUCUCACCAGAACGGCUCCGACAGUGAGGGACGAAAGCUGGGGGAGCGAACCGGAUUAGAUACCCGGGUAGUCCCAGCCGUAAACUAUGCGCGUUAGGUGU